AUCCAACGGAACCAGCGAAAUGGAACUUUCUGGACUUGAGAUGACGUCAUUGGAAUGCCUCCAAAAUAGACUCGCCUGUAGGUCGUUUCUGUGAGCAGUCACUGUUCUCUGUCAUGUCUUCCCCAGCAUCAAUUUCGGUGUCGAUGCACGAUGGAAAAUUUAUUGAAAUGGGGUCAUAUUAAAAGGGGACCGGAGGGGGUGUACAUGCUUGAGUCGCGCGUCAUCUUUUGUGCUGUUGGCAAUGAUAUGGGGCUAAAACAAACAAUGCUUUGUUUCAGAAUGCCGCUGGGGAGACGAAAGUAGACUGGGUCGGGCCAUUCCUCCAUGGUCGGACAGACUUCAUUUAGGAGGGGGACAGACCCUCCGCCCUCCCGUUUCCUGCACUCAGCAGCCCCCAAAACAGGAAAGUGUAGUGAAUGAAAUAUAUGAAAUGGCGACAGGAACCAGGCAAUCCCGAUGACAAUGAUCAGAACCACCAAUACACCCACAACAACGCCAGCUAUAAUUCCGACUGUAUUGUUGGCCACUGGGGGCGGAACUGUCUUUUUAGGGCCUGGUCUCUUGGUCGGUGAGGGUGUCACUGGCUCAGGCCCCAUUGCUGUGAACAAAAUGGCGAUAAAGCAUGCCAAUGAACUGGGCGGUGUAUAUGGCCAGUGGUACAGUGUAGUUGAGAUCAUCCUAAGUCCAAAGACCAGUCACAAGGAACAGGGUGUACCAAGUCAAAGGAAAGCUUUUGUUACAGUUCAUGUGAAUAGCUAGUGACUUGAAUUCAGAGCAUCUCUGAAAACAAAGCAAGACUUAUAGUUUUUACAUCCAAUAAAUGUGACCGGUGAAACUGUA